rnacentral:lncRNA from 10 species
CAUUGUUGUGCUGGCAUACUGGGCAGUUUCAAGUUUGGGAGUUUUCUCCCUCACUGCUAGCUGUCUCAGAGCUUAGUUCCCAGCAGACAACUCUUGCUGCCUCGAACCCUGGCACACUAACCACCAUCCUGUGACGUUCCCACUCCUCAUUCUGCGACAGUGGUUCUUUGCUGGGAGAGAUUUUUGUCUCCCAAGGGACAUUUGGCAAUACCUGGAGAUCUUUUUGGUUGUCAUCAUGGGAGCGGGAAUGCUACUAGCAGCUAAUGUUUAGUGACUAGGGAUGCGACUGAACAUCCUGCAAUGUAGAGUGCAGUGUCCCCUACAGAGAAUUAUCCGACCCAAGAUG